UGCUGGAGGUAUCAGAAGUGCGAAUGCUGACAUAAGUAACGAUAAAGCGGGUGAAAAGCCCGCUCGCCGGAAGACCAAGGGUUCCUGUCCAACGUUAAUCGGGGCAGGGUGAGUCGACCCCUAAGGCGAGGCCGAAAGGCGUAGUCGAUGGGAAACAGGUUAAUAUUCCUGUACUUGGUGUUACUGCGAAGGGGGGACGGAGAAGGCUAUGUUGGCCGGGCGACGGUUGUCCCGGUUUAAGCGUGUAGGCUGGUUUUCCAGGCAAAUCCGGAAAAUCAAGGCUGAGGCGUGAUGACGAGGCACUACGGUGCUGAAGCAACAAAUGCCCUGCUUCCAGGAAAAGCCUCUAAGCAUCAGGUAACAUCAAAUCGUACCCCAAACCGACACAGGUGGUCAGGUAGAGAAUACCAAGGCGCUUGAGAGAACUCGGGUGAAGGAACUAGGCAAAAUGGUGCCGUAACUUCGGGAGAAGGCACGCUGAUAUGUAGGUGAAGUCCCUCGCGGAUGGAGCUGAAAUCAGUCGAAGAUACCAGCUGGCUGCAACUGUUUAUUAAAAACACAGCACUGUGCAAACACGAAAGUGGACGUAUACGGUGUGACGCCUGCCCGGUGCCGGAAGGUUAAUUGAUGGGGUUAGCGCAAGCGAAGCUCUUGAUCGAAGCCCCGGUAAACGGCGGCCGUAACUAUAACGGUCCUAAGGUAGCGAAAUUCCUUGUCGGGUAAGUUCCGACCUGCACGAAUGGCGUAAUGAUGGCCAGGCUGUCUCCACCCGAGACUCAGUGAAAUUGAACUCGCUGUGAAGAUGCAGUGUACCCGCGGCAAGACGGAAAGACCCCGUGAACCUUUACUAUAGCUUGACACUGAACAUUGAGCCUUGAUGUGUAGGAUAGGUGGGAGGCUUUGAAGUGUGGACGCCAGUCUGCAUGGAGCCGACCUUGAAAUACCACCCUUUAAUGUUUGAUGUUCUAACGUUGGCCCGUAAUCCGGGUUGCGGACAGUGUCUGGUGGGUAGUUUGACUGGGGCGGUCUCCUCCUAAAGAGUAACGGAGGAGCACGAAGGUUGGCUAAUCCUGGUCGGACAUCAGGAGGUUAGUGCAAUGGCAUAAGCCAGCUUGACUGCGAGCGUGACGGCGCGAGCAGGUGCGAAAGCAGGUCAUAGUGAUCCGGUGGUUCUGAAUGGAAGGGCCAUCGCUCAACGGAUAAAAGGUACUCCGGGGAUAACAGGCUGAUACCGCCCAAGAGUUCAUAUCGACGGCGGUGUUUGGCACCUCGAUGUCGGCUCAUCACAUCCUGGGGCUGAAGUAGGUCCCAAGGGUAUGGCUGUUCGCCAUUUAAAGUGGUACGCGAGCUGGGUUUAGAACGUCGUGAGACAGUUCGGUCCCUAUCUGCCGUGGGCGCUGGAGAACUGAGGGGGGCUGCUCCUAGUACGAGAGGACCGGAGUGGACGCAUCACUGGUGUUCGGGUUGUCAUGCCAAUGGCACUGCCCGGUAGCUAAAUGCGGAAGAGAUAAGUGCUGAAAGCAUCUAAGCACGAAACUUGCCCCGAGAUGAGUUCUCCCUGACUCCUUGAGAGUCCUGAAGGAACGUUGAAGACGACGACGUUGAUAGGCCGGGUGUGUAAGCGCAGCGAUGCGUUGAGCUAACCGGUACUAAUGAACCGUGAGGCUUAACCUUACAACGCCGAAGGUGUUU
rnacentral:rRNA from 1 species